rnacentral:lncRNA from 1 species
GUUUAAACCAUUCAGGCGUCCCUGUUUUCGUUCGGUCCUCCCACUUUAGUCCCCUUCUUUUAAAUUUUCCCAAUUGAGUCCUCAAAACUGUUAAUUUGAUACAAAUCAACCCCUACCGUUAAAAAUCGUUAACGGUGUUAAUUUUUUGUACAGAUGGAAGGGUGAUGUGUCGAUUUUUGCCACGUCACUUCUCCUACCUCAGAGUUAUCUUUUCCAACCACACAAAUCUAAUUUCUAAUGAAACCCUAAUCGCCGCCGCCGUGAGCAGACCCAGAUUUCCAGUCCCUUUCGAAAUUGGUAAUGUUGUCGUUCUCUUUAAUUGCUCCUGGAACUUCAGACGAACUAUCAUCAUCAUUUUUCACUCCAUUACAUUUCUGAGAAUCAGAGGGCAGAGCACGAAAAAAGGGAUUCAAGAACCCUCCCACUGUAAAAAAUAAUCAGAUCUAAUAAAAUCAGAAAACCCAUUUAGGAUGCACAGCGGAUAUUUCUUUCGAAGAGGAUUGAUGGUUUGAAUGGUGCUUCCAUGGAGCUCGAAGAAAAACUUCUGAAUGCAAAAAAGGAAUGCGCGAACCUGGAAUUGGAUUUUCUGCUUCUGGGUUUGUUUGUUGCAGGUCUGGUUUUGAUGCAGGUGGUGGCACAGACUCGUGAAGAUGCUUCACGGUUUCCAUGGAGUUGGGAGUGGAGGAGGUGCUCGCAGAUGAUAGAAAGCGUGGCGGCCAUGGUGCGAUUUGGUAGAGAACUCUGUUGUUUGGGAUUUUUAGGUUGAUGAAGAUGAAGGAGAAGGAGGCCUCGUGACCUGCGACGGCUAACAGAGGAGUUCGACAAAGCUUUGGAGGUCGGUGAUGGAGGAAAAGAUGAAUGCAGCGGUGCUUUGAUGGUGGCUACCGGCGGCUUCUGCGGUGGAGAUUGAGAGAGUGGUGGUCGUCGUUGAUGGUUGAAUGCGUGUUGAUCUGUUGGGGGGACGACUGCCGACGACGAAUCUGGUGCGGCGGCUAGGGUUUGAUGGGAAGGGUUUGGUGCAGCGGCUAGGGUUUGGAAAUGGCCAUGGAGGAGUUGGAGUGGGAUAGGAAAGAAAUCAGAC